rnacentral:rRNA from 1 species
UCACCUCUUGUAAAUACCAAAUAAGAGGCCCCGCCUGCCCUGUGACUAUAUGUUUAACGGCCGCGGUAUCUUGACCGUGCGAAGGUAGCGCAAUCAAUUGUCUUUUAAAUGGAGACCUGUAUGAAUGGCGUAACGAGGGCUUGACUGUCUCCCUUUCCCAGUCAAUGAAAUUGAUCCCCCCGUGCAGAAGCGGGGAUAAGCACAUAAGACGAGAAGACCCUGUGGAGCUUUAGACGCUAGGGCAGCCUAAUAUUAAGUUAUGCUCUCAAAACAUAAUACCUGAAACCCCUGUCCUCAUGUCUUGGUUGGGGCGACCAUGGAGUAAAGAGCAACCUCCACGUGGAAUAAGAGUACUACUCCCUAAAACUAGGGCUACCACCCCACUUGUCAGAAUUUCUGGCCUUAUGAUCCGGCUUAUGCCGAUUAACGAAUUGAGUUACCCCAGGGAUAACAGCGCAAUCCCCUUUAAAAGACCUUAUCUAAAAGGGGGUUUACGACCUCGAUGUUGGAUCAGGACAUCCUAUUGGUGCAGCCGCUAUAAG